CCGCUGGAUGCUACAAAUGGGGGGACUUUAGGGUUGCGCCGCCUGGUGCUAAGGUCGCCAGGCGGCGGCGUGCUUCGUCGGUUUUGAUUGAAAAGGCAAGCAUGCGAAACCACAAAAUGCAACUCUUAGAUUUCCAAAAAUGCAUAAAGAGUGAAUUUUGAUUCGAAACCACUAUAGGAAGGAAGCAUUUCUGUGGAAAAGAUUAAAUUUUGACAACUGGGCUCAUAGCCAUGAUUUGGGGCAAGCGGGGAAUAUAUAACAUUCUUCUCAAUGAGAAGAGCUGAGACUUGUGACUUGAGUGCAUUGGGAAAGAAGGGCUAAAAGUCCAACACAAUUGUAGCUCAAAACUAGGUGAUGGAGGCAGAAUAGGAUCACUAGGUAGUCUGCGGGAGGUGGGGAACUAGCGAUGAUGCAGGGGGAGAUCGGGUGUUAGCUACUGGAUACCUUUGUUGUGGUGCUGAUUUGGAAUGGUAUGAAUUGCUACAUUGGUGAGUCUCGACUCCAGAAGUUGGACACAAUCCCACCUUGUGACUCUAGCUGACAAAGGACCAAUAGGAGGGAAACUAGCCUAGGUUGUCCAUAGCUGACCAGUUCAAAAACCGAGAAGGCCAAUAGGCCUUUCCUGUUGGCUGUCAAACUUGUAAUCUUGUGUCCUUGUGAUUACUAAGUUAACAGCCUAACCAAUUUGGCUAAGAAGCGUUGGUAAAGGUAGUGAUUCUUGAGCCAGUUGCAUGCUGCCGGAGAUUAAUACGAAAAUGGUCUGCAAGCAUGCCUACCACUAAUGUUAGAUUGAGCUUUUAUGUUGUUUAUAUGACUCUUUCCUAUGUUUAUGCUAACAAUAGUGUUCAGCAAAACUAGAGUCUAUGUACUCUUCCAACAGGGUAUAAUCUGCUUUGGGCUUAAACACUGAUGAGUAAUCUGAAUGCAUCAACAUCAGCCAUUCACCCGAUGGAAUGAAUCUCGUGAUCUCUUAGGUGAUUCAUCUGAUCGGGCUUGUAAUCAAUCGAUGACUUCCUAGCAUUUGAACAUGUUC